rnacentral:rRNA from 1 species
UGUGAGCUCGAUGAGUAGGGCGGGACACGUGGUAUCCUGUCUGAAUAUGGGGGGACCAUCCUCCAAGGCUAAAUACUCCUGACUGACCGAUAGUGAACCAGUACCGUGAGGGAAAGGCGAAAAGAACCCCGGCGAGGGGAGUGAAAAAGAACCUGAAACCGUGUACGUACAAGCAGUGGGAGCCUCUUUUAUGGGGUGACUGCGUACCUUUUGUAUAAUGGGUCAGCGACUUAUAUUCUGUAGCAAGGUUAACCGAAUAGGGGAGCCGAAGGGAAACCGAGUCUUAACUGGGCGUUAAGUUGCAGGGUAUAGACCCGAAACCCGGUGAUCUAGCCAUGGGCAGGUUGAAGGUUGGGUAACACUAACUGGAGGACCGAACCGACUAAUGUUGAAAAAUUAGCGGAUGACUUGUGGCUGGGGGUGAAAGGCCAAUCAAACCGGGAGAUAGCUGGUUCUCCCCGAAAGCUAUUUAGGUAGCGCCUCGUGAAUUCAUCUCCGGGGGUAGAGCACUGUUUCGGCAAGGGGGUCAUCCCGACUUACCAACCCGAUGCAAACUGCGAAUACCGGAGAAUGUUAUCACGGGAGACACACGGCGGGUGCUAACGUCCGUCGUGAAGAGGGAAACAACCCAGACCGCCAGCUAAGGUCCCAAAGUCAUGGUUAAGUGGGAAACGAUGUGGGAAGGCCCAGACAGCCAGGAUGUUGGCUUAGAAGCAGCCAUCAUUUAAAGAAAGCGUAAUAGCUCACUGGUCGAGUCGGCCUGCGCGGAAGAUGUAACGGGGCUAAACCAUGCACCGAAGCUGCGGCAGCGACGCUUAUGCGUUGUUGGGUAGGGGAGCGUUCUGUAAGCCUGUGAAGGUGUGCUGUGAGGCAUGCUGGAGGUAUCAGAAGUGCGAAUGCUGACAUAAGUAACGAUAAAGCGGGUGAAAAGCCCGCUCGCCGGAAGACCAAGGGUUCCUGUCCAACGUUAAUCGGGGCAGGGUGAGUCGACCCCUAAGGCGAGGCCGAAAGGCGUAGUCGAUGGGAAACAGGUUAAUAUUCCUGUACUUGGUGUUACUGCGAAGGGGGGACGGAGAAGGCUAUGUUGGCCGGGCGACGGUUGUCCCGGUUUAAGCGUGUAGGCUGGUUUUCCAGGCAAAUCCGGAAAAUCAAGGCUGAGGCGUGAUGACGAGGCACUACGGUGCUGAAGCAACAAAUGCCCUGCUUCCAGGAAAAGCCUCUAAGCAUCAGGUAACAUCAAAUCGUACCCCAAACCGACACAGGUGGUCAGGUAGAGAAUACCAAGGCGCUUGAGAGAACUCGGGUGAAGGAACUAGGCAAAAUGGUGCCGUAACUUCGGGAGAAGGCACGCUGAUAUGUAGGUGAAGUCCCUUGCGGAUGGAGCUGAAAUCAGUCGAAGAUACCAGCUGGCUGCAACUGUUUAUUAAAAACACAGCACUGUGCAAACACGAAAGUGGACGUAUACGGUGUGACGCCUGCCCGGUGCCGGAAGGUUAAUUGAUGGGGUCAGCGCAAGCGAAGCUCUUGAUCGAAGCCCCGGUAAACGGCGGCCGUAACUAUAACGGUCCUAAGGUAGCGAAAUUCCUUGUCGGGUAAGUUCCGACCUGCACGAAUGGCGUAAUGAUGGCCAGGCUGUCUCCACCCGAGACUCAGUGAAAUUGAACUCGCUGUGAAGAUGCAGUGUACCCGCGGCAAGACGGAAAGACCCCGUGAACCUUUACUAUAGCUUGACACUGAACAUUGAGCCUUGAUGUGUAGGAUAGGUGGGAGGCUUAGAAGUGUGGACGCCAGUCUGCAUGGAGCCGACCUUGAAAUACCACCCUUUAAUGUUUGAUGUUCUAACGUUGACCCGUAAUCGGGGUUGCGGACAGUGUCUGGUGGGUAGUUUGACUGGGGCGGUCUCCUCCUAAAGAGUAACGGAGGAGCACGAAGGUUGGCUAAUCCUGGUCGGACAUCAGGAGGUUAGUGCAAUGGCAUAAGCCAGCUUGACUGCGAGCGUGACGGCGCGAGCAGGUGCGAAAGCAGGUCAUAGUGAUCCGGUGGUUCUGAAUGGAAGGGCCAUCGCUCAACGGAUAAAAGGUACUCCGGGGAUAACAGGCUGAUACCGCCCAAGAGUUCAUAUCGACGGCGGUGUUUGGCACCUCGAUGUCGGCUCAUCACAUCCUGGGGCUGAAGUAGGUCCCAAGGGUAUGGCUGUUCGCCAUUUAAAGUGGUACGCGAGCUGGGUUUAGAACGUCGUGAGACAGUUCGGUCCCUAUCUGCCGUGGGCGCUGGAGAACUGAGGGGGGCUGCUCCUAGUACGAGAGGACCGGAGUGGACGCAUCACUGGUGUUCGGGUUGUCAUGCCAAUGGCACUGCCCGGUAGCUAAAUGCGGAAGAGAUAAGUGCUGAAAGCAUCUAAGCACGAAACUUGCCCCGAGAUGAGUUCUCCCUGACUCCUUGAGAGUCCUGAAGGAACGUUGAAGACGACGACGUUGAUAGGCCGGGUGUGUAAGCGCAGCGAUGCGUUGAGCUAACCGGUACUAAUGAACCGUGAGGCUUAACCUU